rnacentral:misc_RNA from 1 species
CCGAUUAUUUAAAGCAUUUUAACUUAAAAUAUCAGUUUAAACUUUUAGACAUAAUAAGAAAGGUUUUUAUUUAGGUGUGUUCGUAGAUUUUCAUUUGCUGUUUCAACAUCGCAAUUUUUUUUCUCUGGAAUGAAAGAAAAUUUCUCACGGACAUGUUGUAUAUCUGACUUUGAUUUGCAUCGGCUAUUGUCUUAUUCAUACCAUGUAUUGUAUGUAAUGAGUCUAAUUGAAGAUAUGUAUCGCAGUGCGCAGUAUACACUUAUUCAGUAGCUGUGAAUCAGAUAGCUCUCUUAUCAAGCCCGAGGCAGGUACAGACGGGAAAUUGUCAAUUGUGUAGAGUUUUAUGGAACAGCUGUCCAAAUUAAAGCUAAAGGAUGUGUGAUAUAUUAUACGGAUGUUUACUGCAGUGCAUUUUAAGUGUCUUGUCAUCAGUAACUCUAUCAAUAUAUAAUUUAUCACCUACAGCUAUUGAAAAUUUUUGUGUUAAUGAUGUAUGUGCCAGCUGAUCAGCUAUUCACAAGGAAAAUUGUAUCAAUAAGAGCACUUUUACGUUCUAAACAUUAUCUAAUUAACUCUAUCUGCACUCCGAGUAUGGUUUUGGAAUACUUUAAAAAUGUAAUUACACUAUCAAAAAACGUUCAUUCCGCAUUAAGUUCAUAUAUUAGGAUUUACACAUUUUAUCAGAAAGUGACUAUGACGCCCCCCCCCCACCCCCCAACAAAUUGUUAGUUUUGUAAUUUUUUUUAUCCAAUCAUAAUCCUAAUCCUAUAUUUUUAAAUUGACAUGGUGUUAAUUAAUAUUUGUCUUUGUUGCGUCUUUUUUAAAAAUUUAUUAAUAUAUAAAUGUGUGGGUUUUUUUUAUAUGUAUGGCCAGUAUUCCCAUCAAGUUUCAUCUUUCUUUGUUCGUAAUAUUCCAAAUAAAAGAAACGUUCAAACAU